AUUGAACGCUGGCGGCAUGCCUUACACAUGCAAGUCGAACGGUAACAGGUCUUCGGAUGCUGACGAGUGGCGAACGGGUGAGUAAUACAUCGGAACGUGCCCGAUCGUGGGGGAUAACGAAGCGAAAGCUUUGCUAAUACCGCAUACGAUCUACGGAUGAAAGCAGGGGACCGCAAGGCCUUGCGCGAACGGAGCGGCCGAUGGCAGAUUAGGUAGUUGGUGGGAUAAAAGCUUACCAAGCCGACGAUCUGUAGCUGGUCUGAGAGGACGACCAGCCACACUGGGACUGAGACACGGCCCAGACUCCUACGGGAGGCAGCAGUGGGGAAUUUUGGACAAUGGGCGCAAGCCUGAUCCAGCAAUGCCGCGUGCAGGAAGAAGGCCUUCGGGUUGUAAACUGCUUUUGUACGGAACGAAACGGCUCUGGUUAAUACCUGGGGCUAAUGACGGUACCGUAAGAAUAAGCACCGGCUAACUACGUGCCAGCAGCCGCGGUAACAC
rnacentral:rRNA from 1 species